rnacentral:lncRNA from 1 species
UCCACCAGCAUGCCCUGCUUCCCCUACGCGGAUCAACUCGAGCUCGGAGCAACCACCUCGACCGGAUCGACGCCUUCUUCUUCCUCGGUCGUCGCCGCUGCUCUUCAUCGAUCCGUCGCCUCUGCAGCUCCUAAGCCACCAACGGGCCUCCGUGUGCCUCCGCGGUGAGCUCCUCGUCCGAUUCCCCCUCUUCUCCGGCUCGAUCCGUUAGGUUUGUGGCCGUCCCGUGAGCUUUGUCCACCAUGGCAAAAGUUCAGUGUUCGCGUACGUGCAUGCUGCCGCUCCUCUGAAACUGAUGCGUGUUGCUGAUGCGUUCUACCGUUGCCUGCCGCUGCUCGCGCCGUCACGCUGUGCCCGCGCUCGCUGGCCUCUGGCCACGACCGGUUGCGCCCGGCUGCGCGUACGCGCGUGCCCGCACCCACUGCCGCCCGGCGCCUGCUCACAACCGCCGCGCCCGCAAGCACCCGGCCUCUGCUACUCUGUUGCUGCCGUUGUAAUGCUGCUAGUUACUGUAGCUGAUGCGAGCUAGCUUUUCUAAUUCUACACUGUUUAACCCUCUGAACAGCCCCUAAACAUCGACUAAAUGACUUUUAACAGGAGCAAAAAUAUUAUGGGAAGGUAGUACACUUGACAAGGCUCAAAUGUUUUCAUUGGACCUAAUCCCUUAGAUGCCUGGAUUAAAUCAUACGAAAAUCACAAAGUUCAAUGUUCUGUUAAUAGAAAAGCCGAAAACGGCUUUAAUUUGAUAGCUACUUUAGAGCUGUUGAUGAUCAAGCAAAUGCACUCUAACAGAGAUGCAAGUGCUACUAUCUUGUAGAUCAUAGAAAAAUGCUCAAAAUUGGUAUAAAGCACAAAAAUAGAGGAUGUACAGAACAAUAGUUGUAGCGUUUUGAAAACAGCAAAGUGAUGUUUAAAACUGACGAAAUCUCAGACUUGGUAGAAUUUCAGGGAUUUUUAGGAUAUUGCUUAAAGCUUUGAAAAUCAAUAGAAAAUAAUCCGUAGCUUGAAUGAAAAAGUUUUAUACAUGAAAGUUGCUUAGAACGACGAGACGAAUCCGGAUACGCAACCCCUUCGUCCGCCACACACCCCUAUCAUAUCAAACUCGCAACUUUCCCCCUCCGGCUCCUCUGCCCGAAAACGCGAAACACCGGGGAUACUUUCCCAGAUGUUUUUCCCCCUUCGCCGGUAUCACCUAAUACCGCGUGAGGGCAGACCUAACACCGCCGUUUGCUUUGUCACGCAUCAUCAUGCUUAUGUUGCAUUGUAUUUAUUGUUUCUUCCCCCUCUUCUCUUCGGUAGACUACGAGGCUGAUGCUGCUGCUGGUACCCCGAUCGACUACGGUGUUGAC